rnacentral:miRNA from 1 species
UGUGUUCAGGCUCUGGCUGACA